UACUUUACAACAAUAAUGCGUUAUUUCUCCAUUUUAACGCGUUAGUUUCCAAAACUAACGCGUUAUUACACAAAACUGUCGCGAUAUUUCUUUUUUGCUAUUAAUUAGAAAAAUUAUCAAACUAACGCGUUAGUUUUCAUAAUUAACGCAAUAUCAUUUAUUCAAGUAUUAACGUGUUAUUUUGUAAAACUAUCGCGUUACUUUCUUAAACUAACGCGUUAUUUCUUCAUUUUAUGAAAACUAUCGCUAUUAUACGCGAAUAUGAUCCAAUGAGAGUCUGUGUU
rnacentral:lncRNA from 1 species